rnacentral:rRNA from 1 species
GACGAACGCUGGCGGCGUGCUUAAUACAUGCAAGUCGAACGGAAAGGCCCUGCUUUUGUGGGGUGCUCGUGUGGCGAACGGGUGAGUAACACGUGAGUAACCUGUCCCUGACAUUGGGAUAACUUUAGGAAACUGGGGCUCAUACCGGAUAGGAGCUCUUGCUGCAUGGUGGGGGUUGGAAAGUUUCGGCGGUUGGGGAUGGACUCGAGGCUUAUCAGCUUGUUGGGCGGGUAGUGGCUUACCAAGGCUUUGACGGGUAGCCGGCCUGAGAGGGUGACCGGCCACAUUGGGACUGAGAUACGGCCCAGACGCCUACGGGAGGCAGCAGUGGGGAAUAUUGCGCAAUGGGGGGAAGCCUGAUGCAGCGACGCCGCGUGCGGGAUGACGGCCUUCGAGUUGUAAACCGCUUUCGCCUGUGACGAAGAGUGAGUGACGGUAAUGGGUAAGGAAGCACCGGCUAACUACGUG